CGUACAAUUUCAUUCACCAAUUGUUCUAUCAAGCAAGAUAGCAAAAUUAACGAUUUAUCACAAACUGUCACAAACAAGGGUUUCACAUACCACACAAUCAAACAUAUAUGCAUAAAGAUAUGAGUAAUUAUAUACACCGCCAAGUCUUCACUAUUCUUGGUGGUACAAAGAAAUAACUAUCGGAGUACUCGGUAAGGGGUAUCACUUAGUAUCCCUCUUUGCACACCUCUGAAUUUUUAGGAAAUUGUGGGCGUUACGUAUCGCCGUACCCACAACCUUUA
rnacentral:lncRNA from 1 species